UACGUAGGAUGCAAGCGUUAAUCGGAAUUACUGGGCGUAAAGCGUGCGCAGGCGGUUUUGUAAGUCUGUCGUGAAAUCCCCGGGCUUAACCUGGGAAUGGCGAUGGAGACUGCAAGGCUAGAGUUUGGCAGAGGGGGGUAGAAUUCCACGUGUAGCAGUGAAAUGCGUAGAGAUGUGGAGGAACACCGAUGGCGAAGGCAGCCCCCUGGGUCAAAACUGACGCUCAUGCACGAAAGCGUGGGGAGCAAACAGG
rnacentral:rRNA from 1 species